AAAUUGAAGAGUUUGAUCAUGGCUCAGAUUGAACGCUGGCGGCAGGCCUAACACAUGCAAGUCGAACGGUAGCAGGAAG
rnacentral:rRNA from 1 species